rnacentral:rRNA from 1 species
AACCCGAAUAGUGGUGAACUAUGCCUGCACAAGGCGAAGUCAGGGGAAACUCUGAUGGAGG